rnacentral:rRNA from 1 species
ACUCCUACGGGAGGCAGCAGUGGGGAAUAUUGCACAAUGGGCGAAAGCCUGAUGCAGCAACGCCGCGUGAACGAUGAAGGCCUCGGUUGUAAGUUCUUUUCUUGGUAGAAGAAUCCAUGACGGUAUCCAAGGAAUAAGCCCCGGCUAACUACGUGCCAGCAGCCGCGGUAAUACGUAGGGGCGAAGCGUUAUCCGGAAUCACUGGGCGUAAAGGGAGUGUAGGCGGUCAAGCAAGUCAGAGGUGAAAGGCAUCGGCUCAACCGAUGUAAGCCUUUGAAACUGUUUGACUUGAGUGCAGGAGAGGUAAGUGGAAUUCCUAGUGUAGCGGUGAAAUGCGUAGAUAUUAGGAGGAACACCAGUGGCGAAGGCGACUUACUGGACUGUAACUGACGCUGAGGCUCGAAAGCGUGGGGAGCGAACAGGAUUAGAUACCCUGGUAGGAUAGCG